UGGCUUGUCGCUCGCUCUCGCACACACGCAUGCACACACACACACACACGCGCGCACACACACACGCACGCACCCGCCCGCCCGCCUGAUCGACUCCGCUUCCGAGCUGCCUCAGCAAGGAGGAGCCCGGACGGAAAACACCAGGGCAGCAAGGAUUUGGAUGUGGAGAUCCAGGAGAGUGAACCUAGCAAUGAGUGAAGGUUUCCCUUGAAGCAGAGUCUGUUUGUUAUUCCCUAGGAGGCUGAGAAGAGAGGGGACGCUGGAUGUCAGCCCAGUUUCUGGGUUUUAUUUGUCUUGACUUUGAGGCAGAUGGCCUUUUUCAAAGCCCUGGGAGUUGACAGGUAUCAAUCUCCCGACUUAGACCUGUGCCACCUCACUACUUGAAUGUCUCUCCUGAGAAUGUUCACUGAAAGGCCAUCAUGGCUUAAGUUUCCUCCAGUUCAUGUUCCAGGCACUGACACUGCACAAUACCUCAGUCCACUCAGCUUCUCUCCAAGAUGGGUAACUGCUUCUUGCUCCGCAUCUCUGUAAAAGGACAUCUUUUGGUUACCUGAAAAAUUAAAUUGCAUCCUGUAGAUUUCCUCUUCAGAUUUACAGAAGAGAAGAUCAACUUGUUGCAGGUGCAUCAAUGACAUGAGACUCAUCUGUUUUGCCUGAAUGCUCUUUCCAUCUUCUGUCAGUUGAAAAUUAUUCGUUUUUAAAGGAUCGAAGGAGGUGCUUUAAUACUUGUGUGAACCACUUUUCCUGCACAUUGUCUGUUCUUUUCUCCUUCUCCUGGGUGUCUGGUUUGUCUUGACUGCUUUAAAGAAUUCUUUUGCCUCUAGUGAGGGACUGCCAGUUUAAACCAGUGAAGGGAAACCAGGUGACUGUCUUCUUUUACAAAUACAGGUUGUAUGUAAUAAAUUCAGGUUUUGCAUCUAUGGAGAUUAAAACAUCAUAUGAUUCUGACUACAUGCAUUUUUUAUUAAAUAUGGCAUAGAUUUCACAAAUUAUAUUUAACUUAGAGUUGUGUUUCUAUUCUGAAUACCUAACUAGGAGUUACAAGGUAUGCCAUUAGAGUUUACUAAAUAGUCUUGGGAAAACAGAAGAAAUAAGAGGAAAUAUGUUUUCUUUCUCUUGUAUUCUCAGUGUAUUCAAUAGAAAGACUUUUCCUGCUAUAGGUGGUAAUAUAAAUACAGAAUCAUAGAAUUGUUAGGGUUGGAAGGGACCUCAGGGAUGAUCUAAUUCCAACACCAUGCCAUGGGCAGGG